rnacentral:rRNA from 1 species
AGAGUUUGAUUCUGGCUCAGAACGAACGCUGGCGGCGUGGAUAAGACAUGCAAGUCGAGCGCUCAUCCGGUUGCAGCAAUGUAGGCGGGUGGGAGCGGCGCAAGGGUGCGUAACGCGUGGGUAAUUUGCCAUGAAGUUGGGAAUAACUCGCUGAAAGGCGAGCUAAUGCCGAAUGUGGUUGCCUGGGGGAAUCCCUGGGUUACUAAAGUUGGGGACCGAAAGGCCUGACGCUACAUGAUAAGCCCGCGCCCUAUCAGCUAGUUGGUGAGGUAACGGCCCACCAAGGCUAAGACGGGUAGCUGGUCUGAGAGGACGACCAGCCACACUGGAACUGAGACACGGUCCAGACACCUACGGGUGGCAGCAGUCGAGAAUUUUUCACAAUGGGCGCAAGCCUGAUGGAGCGACGCCGCGUGGGGGAUGAAGGGCUUCGGUCCGUAAACCCCUGUCAUUUGCGAACAAACCUUGUUAUUUAAAAGAUGACGAGCUGAUGGUAGCGAAAGAGGAAGGGACGGCUAACUCUGUGCCAGCAGCCGCGGUAAUACAGAGGUCCCGAGCGUUGUUCGGAUUCACUGGGCGUAAAGGGUGCGUAGGUGGUGAGGUAAGUCGGAUGUGAAAUCUCGGAGCUCAACUCCGAAACUGCAUUGGAAACUACCUUGCUAGAGGAUUGGAGGGGGGACUGGAAUUCUCGGUGUAGCAGUGAAAUGCGUAGAGAUCGAGAGGAACACCAGUGGCGAAGGCGAGUCCCUGGACAAUACCUGACGCUGAGGCACGAAAGCUAGGGGAGCAAACAGGAUUAGAUACCCUGGUAGUCCUAGCCGUAAACGGUGUGCACCUGCUGUAAGAGGAAUCGACCCCUUUUGUGGCGAAGCCAACGCGAUAAGUGCACCGCCUGGGAAGUACGGUCGCAAGAUUAAAACUCAAAGGAAUUGACGG